rnacentral:lncRNA from 1 species
CGCGCCUUUCGUUUUUCUGCUGCUUUUCACGUGUUAUUUUCGGUUCCCUUGCAGCCUUGUCCCACUCUCCCUCCCACAGUCUCUGGCCUUGUCCGCCGGUCCUCUGCUGCCCUCGUGUGGCUCUAGGUGGAAAGGCAGCUUCCCAGCCCCACCCAAGGUGCGGCUGGGGAUGGAGCUGGAGAUGAGCGCGAGGGGAUCCAGGUGUGGAUGGUCGGCACGGGUUUGGCUCCGCGCCUUUGACCUGGGCAAGAGAACAAGCAGAGGAGUCUGUAAUAGAGGAUGAAUUUUUUCUCCAGCUUUAUUGAGAAUCUCACAAAGUCACCAAGUUGCCCAGGCCGGGCUAGAACUUGUGAGCCUCCUGCCUGAGGCCUUUCCAGAGUGCUUUCCAACGUGCUGGGGUUACAAGUGGGCACCACUGUGCUCAGGUUUAGAAGUUUCAGUCCAUGAUUGGUUGACCUGGUUGCUUUGGGCCUGGUGAGAGGCAGCAGCAUCACGGCAGGUAAGUGUGGUACAGCAAAGCUGCUCACUUCAUGGUCAGGACAAAAGAAGAAAAGAGGAAGGGACUGGACUUCCACAAUCCCCUCUGAGACCAUGCCCCCAAAGACCUAAAGACCUCCCAUUACACCCGACCUUUCAAGGUUUCCAACACCUCCAAGAGUGCCAAGCUGGGGACCACAUCUUUACCACAUAGACCUCUGGGUCCCAUUCCAGAUCCCAACAGUAUCAGGCAGCAUAAAUAAAAAUUUCAGUAGAGCCAGGGAUUUAGCUCAGUGGCACUGUGCCUGCCUCACAAAUGCAAGAUCCUUGAGUUCAAUACCCGAUAUAUAUAUUUCAAUAGGGCUGGGGAUUUAGCUCAGUGGUUCUGGCACCUGCCUCGCAAGUGCAAGGUCCCGAGUUUGAUCCCUGGUACCAAAAAAACUCCAACAACACACAUAUAUAUAUUUCAAUAGAAAGGUUGUAAAAUAAAGCUGAGGGAAUGUCCAAAAUGGUGAAGCAAUUGGACAGAUGGAAAAUAUACAAGCAAAAAUAAAACAAGUUAGAGUUCCAAAUUCCAGA